rnacentral:rRNA from 1 species
AUUGAACGCUGGCGGCAGGCCUAACACAUGCAAGUCGAGCGAGCGGCGGACGGGUGAGAAUUGUCUGUGAAACUGCCUGAUGGAGGGGGAUAACUACUGGAAACGGUAGCUAAUACCGCAUACCAUCAGAUGUGCCCAGAUGGGAUUAGCUAGUCGGGGGGGUAAUGGCUCACCAAGGCGACGAUCCCGAGCUGGGCUGAGAGGAUGACCAGCCACACUGGAACUGAGACACGGUCCAGACUCCGACGGGAGGCAGCAGUGGGGAAUAUUGCACAAUGGGCGCAAGCCUGAUGCAGCCAUGCCGCGUGUGUGAAGAAGGCCUUCGGGUUGUAAAGCACUUUCAGCGAGGAGGCGUUACUCGCAGAAGAAGCACCGGCUAACUCCGUGCCAGCAGCCGCGGUAAUAC